AGUGAACGCUGGCGGUAGGCCUAACACAUGCAAGUCGAACGGCAGCACAGGAGAGCUUGCUCUCUGGGUGGCGAGUGGCGGACGGGUGAGGAAUACAUCGGAAUCUACUCUGUCGUGGGGGAUAACGUAGGGAAACUUACGCUAAUACCGCAUACGACCUACGGGUGAAAGCAGGGGAUCUUCGGACCUUGCGCGAUUGAAUGAGCCGAUGUCGGAUUAGCUAGUUGGCGGGGUAAAGGCCCACCAAGGCGACGAUCCGUAGCUGGUUUGAGAGGAUGAUCAGCCACACUGGAACUGAGACACGGUCCAGACUCCUACGGGAGGCAGCAGUGGGGAAUAUUGGACAAUGGGCGCAAGCCUGAUCCAGCCAUACCGCGUGGGUGAAGAAGGCCUUCGGGUUGUAAAGCCCCUUUGUUGGGAAAGAAAUCCAGCUGGCUAAUACCCGGUUGGGAUGACGGUACCCAAAGAAUAAGCACCGGCUAACUUCGUGCCAGCCGCCGCGGUAA
rnacentral:rRNA from 1 species